AUGGCGCCACGGCCUCACGCUCUUCUUCCUUUCGAUCUUGAUCCAUGUCGUCGUGUGGGACCCGUCGCCGGCGUCCAGCACCGCCUGGCCGCCCCCCUCGAUGUUUGUCUACCCAUGGGCCAUGGGCUGUCGAAGCAUCAGAACAAAAUGGACUCACGGGGGCUCGCACUGCCAGCGUCUCCAACUUCGCAUCUUGCCUACUGGUUCGAGCCCACCGCCACUCCCCACAAGCGAGCUCUAGGGCGAGAUGAGCAGCCGCCGCCGCCGCCACGCCCGCUCGCCGCCGGCCGCCGCCACGCCCGCUCGCCGCCGGCCGCGCCGCUGGACGACGACGACCUCCUCUCCGAGAUCCUGCUCCGCCUCCCCCCGCAGCCCUCAUCACUCCCGCGCGCAUCCCUCGUCUGCAAGCGAUGGCGCGGCCUCGUCUCCGACCCCGGCUUCUUCCGCCGCUUCCGCCUCCGCCACCGCCGCAACCCUCCUCUCCUCGGUUUCUUUGACAGAUUUCUAGGUCAGAAGUUCCGGUCUACCCUGGAGGCCCCCAAUUGUGUCCCUCCCGAGCGCUUCUCCUUGCAGCGCCACGAGGAUGAAAUGCGCUCCUUUUCCCAUGGAUGCCGCCAUGGUCUCGUGCUCAUCUCCCUUCUCAAGCGUCACCAGGUCCUGGUCUGGGAUCCCGUCACCAGCGACCAGCACCGCAUCCCCUUUCCCGCGCCGUUCGAUACAGCCGUGGUCAACGCGGCGGUGCUUCGCGAUGCGGGAGACGCCCAGCACUUCCAGGUGGUCUUGGCAGUGGCAGGCACCGAUGCCGAACAUCAUAGACGAGCGCUCGCCUGUAUUUACUCGUCAAAGACCGGCUUAUGGGGGGAUCUCGUCUCAACACCCAUUCCAUACCAGGCUAAUGGGAACAGUAUUCCCACAUUGGUUUAUACCGAUGAUGCUGUUCUGGAUGGAGAUUCCCUUUACUGGAAGCUUGUGGGGAAUUUGAUUGGAAUUCUUGAGUUUGAUCUGAAGAAGCAGACCCUAGCUGUGAUACAGGUGCCAAUGGACAUCCUCAAAGGUAACAGCUUGCAGGUUAUGCGGGCCGAGGGUGGUGGGCUUGGUUUCCUCUUCGUGUCAGACUCGGAUUGCACCGCCCGGCUAUGGAAGAGGAAGACCAAUCGUCAUGGUUUCGCUUCAUGGGAGCUUGCAAGGAGUAUUGAUCUGGACAAGCUACUUUCCCUGGAACCAGAAGAGAAAGCCCCCCUAGUGAUACUAGGGUAUGCUGAACUGAAUAAUGUGGUGUUUCUGCAGACAGCUAUCGGCGUCUUAAUGGUCCAGCUUGAGUCACUGAAGUUCAAGAAGCUUUUUAAAACAAUGACCUUUUCUCGCUAUCAUCCAUUCGAAAGUGUCUACAGUGCAGGAGCAUGUAUUACUGGUGGACACGCCAGGGCUGAGCUUAUGCUCAAUGCGUAA
rnacentral:rRNA from 1 species